UUUUUGAUUAAUAAUUUAAAGUCUAAUCUGCCCACUGAUAUUAUAUUAAAGGGCUGCAGUAUUUUGACUGUACAAAGGUAGCAUAAUCAUUAGUCUCUUAAUUGGUGACUUGUAUGAAAGAUUUGAUGAAAUAUAUACUGUCUCUAAUUAAUUUAUAAAAUUUAAUUUUUUAGUUAAAAAGCUAAAAUAAAUUUAAAAGACGAGAAGACCCUAUAGAGUUUAAUAUUUAUAUAAAUUGAGAUUUUAUAUAAGAAUUAUAAUUUUAAUAAUAUAUAAAUAUUUUGUUGGGGUGACAAAAAAAUUAAAAUAACUUUUUUUAUAUUUUUACAUUUAUAAAUGAAUAAAUGAUCCAUAAUUUAUGAUUAUAAGAAAGAAUUACCUUAGGGAUAACAGCGUAAUUUUUUUUUUAGUUCAAAUAAGAAAAAAAGUUUGCGACCUCGAUGUUGGAUUAAGAUAAAAUUUAAAUGCAAAAGUUUAAAAUUUUUGAUCUGUUCGAUCAUUAAAAUCUUACA
rnacentral:rRNA from 1 species